CUUAAAGCAGACCGCAAGAAUAACUUAAGUACGUUCUACGUGACCAAUGAAAUGCAGCCACUUUCGAUGAUUCAUUCGAUGAUUCUUCUCGUCGACUCUGACGCCCAGCUGUCUCCGACUAGAUCGAUUAAUCGAUUCACGACAAACAGAGUCGUCGUCGUUAGUUCAUUCUCAAACUCGAAAUAAACUCGAUCGAUCUCUGUGAUUUCGAUUAAUCCAUUCUUCAUUUUCUUAAUUUCAACAGGAAAGGAAAAGGUAUGGUGCAUUUCUCAGAUAUGUUGUACUCUUUCGAGCGUGAAUAUACAGCUGGGAUCGUUUUACUUUCGAAAGAUACAUAGAUAAGAAGAGAGAGAGAGAGAGAGAGAGAAAGAGUGAUGGGUGUUUAUGUAUCUACUUGAGGAAUGUGUCUUUGUGAAGCAAAGAAGAGUUGAAGGAAGAAUAUAAAGAAAUAAAUAAAGAAAGAAAGGGGAAAGAGUUGAAAGAAGGAAACCUGUACGUUCGUACAUGGAGGUCUUCAUUGAAGAACUUGUUUCUCGAACCAAAUAGGGACGUUUCAUUCAUCCUCAGAUGGAGCGAUCAAGCGUAGGAUAUCUAUCGUCAAUAACAUUAUUUGUAAACCCAUGAUCAUAUCGAUUCCAACUUUAGAACUUGACUUACGAGCAUGUAAACAAUAACGCACGCACGAGUUACCAUGAACGUUAGGAAAACAAUUCAAUCUGUCGUGAUACUUCAUAAUAGAAACACACACACACACACACACACAUUAUA